UACGUAGGGUGCGAGCGUUAAUCGGAAUUACUGGGCGUAAAGGGUGCGCAGGCGGUUCUGCAAGUCAGGCGUGAAAUCCCCGGGCUUAACCUGGGAAUUGCACUUGAAACUACGGGACUGGAGUAUGGCAGAGGGAGGUGGAAUUCCACGUGUAGCGGUGAAAUGCGUAGAGAUGUGGAGGAACACCGAUGGCGAAAGCGGUUUUCUAGCUUUUACCUGACGCUGAGGCGCGAGAGCAAGGGGAGCAAACAGG
rnacentral:rRNA from 1 species